rnacentral:rRNA from 1 species
GACAGAGGGGGCAAGCGUUGCUCGGAAUCACUGGGCGUAAAGGGCGCGUAGGCGGGAUGGCAGGUCGGUCGUGAAAUCCUUCGGCUCAACCGAAGAACGUCGGCCGAUACUGCCGUUCUUGAGGGAUGCAGAGGAGAUUGGAAUUCCCGGUGUAGCGGUGAAAUGUGUAGAGAUCGGGAGGAACACCGGUGGCGAAGGCGGGUCUCUGGGCAUCUCCUGACGCUGAGGCGCGAAAGCGUGGGGAGCAAACGGG